GAAUCACCACAACCUCGCCCUUGGAUGACAGCCGAAGCCUUUCGCAUUUUGCCUAGGAUUCCCCGAUGCACGCCUGUCUCUAGCCAAGCCUGUUGAUCUAAGAGGCAGGGUCUCCAAGACUCAGCCAGUAGGGAGAGCUGGGCGAAUGGAUCCAAUCUGAGAUAGUGCUCCUGUGCGGGUUCCAUGGUGACGGCCACACCCACCCCGCUGCGGCCAGAUGUCAUGCGGGUCACCUCACUCCAGGGCUGGGGAUGAGACCUUAAACCCUGGAUUCAAGAAAGAGACCAGAGGACUGGAGAGAUGGCUCAGUGGUUAAGAGUACCAACGGAAGGUCCUGAGUUCAAAUCCCAGCAAACACAUGGUGGCUCACAACCACCCAUAAUGAGAUCUGCCGCCCUCUUCUGGUGUGUCUGAAGACUGCUACAGUGUACUUAUACACAUAAAUAAAAUCUUUUUAAAAAGAAA
rnacentral:lncRNA from 1 species